GGGGAAUCUUGCGCAAUGGGCGAAAGCCUGACGCAGCCAUGCCGCGUGAAUGGUGAAGGUCUUAGGAUUGUAAAAUUCUUUCACCGGGGACGAUAAUGACGGUACCCGGAGAAGAAGCCCCGGCUAACUUCGUGCCAGCAGCCGCGGUAAUACGAAGGGGGCUAGCGUUGCUCGGAAUUACUGGGCGUAAAGGGAGCGUAGGCGGACAGUUAAGUCAGAGGUGAAAGCCCAGGGCUCAACCUUGGAAUUGCCUUUGAUACUGGCUGUCUUGAGUAUGGGAGAGGUGUGUGGAACUCCGAGUGUAGAGGUGAAAUUCGUAGAUAUUCGGAAGAACACCAGUGGCGAAGGCGACACACUGGCCCAUUACUGACGCUGAGGCUCGAAAGCGUGGGGAGCAAAC
rnacentral:rRNA from 1 species